rnacentral:rRNA from 1 species
GACGAACGCUGGCGGCGUGCUUAACACAUGCAAGUCGAACGGAAAGGCCUGCUUUCCCUUGUGGAUUGCGGGUACUCGAGUGGCGAACGGGUGAGUAACACGUGAGUGAUCUGCCCCCAACUUGGGUAUAAGCCUGGGAAACUGGGUCUAAUUCCCGAUAGGACUGCAGGGUGGUGCCUGUGGUGGAAAACGAUUUUCUAGUGGUUGGGGAUGAGCUCGCGGCCUAUCAGCUUGUUGGUGGGGUAAUGGCCUACCAAGGCGGCGACGGGUAGCCGGCCUGGGAGGGUGGACGGGCACAUUGGGACUGGGAUACGGCCCAGACUCCUACGGGAGGCAGCAGUGGGGAAUAUUGCAAAAUGGGCGGAAGCCUGAUGCAGCGACGCCGCGUGGGGGAUGACGGCCUUCGGGUUGUAAACUCCUUUCGACCGCGAGGAAGCCACCUGGUUGGAAGGGUGGUGACGGUAGUGGUAGAAGAAGCACCGGCUAACUACGUG